UACGUAGGGUCCGAGCGUUGUUCGGAAUUACUGGGCGUAAAGAGUGUGUAGGCGGUGUUCUAAGUUUGUCGUGAAAUCUCCCGGCUUAACUGGGAGGGUGCGGCGAAAACUGGAUGCUAGAGGAUGGGAGAGGUAAGCGGAAUUCCUGGAUGUAGCGGUGGAAAUGCGCAGAUAUCAGGAGGAACACCGGUGGCGAAGGCGGAUCUCUGGGCCAUUACUGACGCUGAGGAGCGAAAGCGUGGGGAGCGAACAUGG
rnacentral:rRNA from 1 species